AAUAAUCCAUCUAAUCACCAAAUGGGUUUCAUAAACCCUAAAAUCGUGCACACAUCAAUAUAGCAGAAAUGAUCCGAAAUAUUACCUGAAUAACACCCUCUCUGUGUCUCCAAACCUCAGAACUCGAUCCCCUUGAUAUUCCUUUGGCCAAAACUCUUCUUCUUCUUGCCUAACAAAUUCUUCAAGGUUCCAAAAGCUUCCUCUCCUGCUCUAGACGUCCACAACGAUUAGGGUUCUUCUCCAUCGGCCAAAAGACGGACAAUGACGGCCUAAGAGGCAUUAUAUACGAUCCAAAACCAAACGGCUAGGGUUUCUGCUGAACAGCGUCGACUCGCCGAGUCCAUACCUGGACUCGUCGAGUCCAGUCGCGAACCCGCGACCAAAUCUGCGACCCUACUCGGCGAGUCUGGCUCCAACUCGCCGAGUCUCCCCUUUAAAACACCCCAAAAUGCAAUUUAGCAAUACUUGAGAUUUUGGGCUGUUACAAUUCUCCCCCACUAGAAUUAGACUUCGCCCUCGAAGUCUCACUCUGAAAAUAGUUCUGGAUGCUGCUCCCGCAUCACACGUUUCGGCUUCCCUAAACACUUCCGAUAUCUUCCGAGGUCGCUACUGAACCAAUACCAGAGGUACCUCCUUGUUCCUCAGAACCUUGAUCUUCCAAUCUCCGCCGGCCACUGGCCUCUUGACGUAACACAGGCUCGCAUCCACCUAAUCGUUCUCUAGUAAAACCACUGCUGACUCAUCCGCUAUACACCUCUUCAACUGCGACACCUACCAGUGUCAUGGAUCCGUCCCAAUUCCGUUGACAGCUCCAAACGAUAGGCCACCCUUCUUACCUUCGCACCUUCACGAAAAGACCCAACAUACCGGGGCCCCCAUUUACCCCUCUUCCUAAGAUCGAAGCACCCCGUCAGAAAUACGAAGUCGCUGACCUGAAUCACAUGCUCGCGACGGCGUCUGCCUGCAUAACCUUCCUGUUAAUUCUAAACAAUCACUAACUCUCUUUAACCUGCUGAGUCUGCUUUGUCAACUAAAGUACGAACUCUGAACUGCUCAUCACUCUCUGUAAUCGGAAAUUACCCACGAUGCACCCUGCUCCAAAUCUCAACGAUCACUCGACCCAUAAGGGUUAGGAAACCCUGAACCACCGGAUCCCCGAUCCAAAGCCCACUUUGCCCAUUCCGGACCGACUGAGAGAUCCGUUCUCCCUCUCAGAUCAACUCUCACAAGUUCCCUCUUGCCAUCACAUACACAUACUGAACUAGUCCCAACACCCGCAGGUGGAAAGACCCGAUACACUGAUGAUAUCCUCGAACAUCUCCCAAGAUGAACCACUACAUCCACCCUACACUCUGAUCAGAUUCACACUGAGAAUUUAAAAUUUUCUCUCUCCAUGCAUCCCUUCUGAGCCUCAACAGACAUCCCAACCGGAUGGGUUCCUACUCCACUGCCGCGAACACGAUGCUCAAAACCAUACUCGAAAUACUCUAACCAUAACUCUGCUCUGCAGCUUUCACUUUCGUGAACUUGCACCCCCUUCGGAGUUACAUACCCUCCUCUUUUCCUUUUCCACGGAACUCUCUUGAACAUAAUGCCACUCCAACCGGUGCCACGGUGCUCGCCCCAAGCGACACCACCCUUUUUGCGUAACUGCUAUUCACAUACUCUGGUUCUCAUUGCAGGGGCUCUCAAUCCCAUGCACUCUCUCCACUCAUCAAAAUCACUGCCUCCGCUAAACAAGAUCAAUAACCCGGGGCCAGACCUUCCAAUGCAAUCACACUGCAACAUACGCGAUCCGCAAAUCUCAAACUAAUCCAGCAAUACCAACAGAGUCUCCAGUAUGACUGGACCGACUCUCAUAACACAUACUAGCCACUCGAGGCUAUAUCUCUGUGGGUCCGUACACCCAAACUCUGCGAACCCUCAGGUUCUAACUCUGGGAACCUUCCGGUUCCAGCUCUAGAAACAUGCACAACAUAAUCCCGUGGGAUUAAUGCAGUACAACCCAUCACGUACCUCAAACGUACCAAUACUCUGAUCGCAAAAUUCCGAUUACUUACUCAAGCUUGAUCCCGACCUCCUCUCAGGCCUCCACAAUCAAAUGCCCUAGGUCUGUAUCUCGCCCCGCAUACUCAACACUCGCUCUCGUCGGCCUAUACUUUGCGCUGACAAACACUGCUGAAUCCCAACAGCUAAGCACCCUUACAUACUCAUCGAUCUCCCGGAGAAUUUUACAAUUCUCCCCCACUAAAGCACUGACUAACUGCCACCGAUCGUCAUUAACGACCUUUCAGAACCAUCCUGCACAAAGAGAACAUUUACCCACUGACUGCUUCCCACAAGCGUAAGCAACCCUCAGCAAAACACAUCUCCUCCCUGAUCAAUCCGCUCAAAAGAAUCCGAUCUUUCAAUUAUCCACUCCACAACUGCAGAUGCUACCCGUCAUUCAACCCAGUGCCGCAUCUCCACUAUCAACCCUCACGAACGAUGACCAACGGAAUUCCCAAGCAAUAACCCAUAACCAAACCCACAACCUGCCAAAGGUUGAAUAUCGCAUCGAAAACCGCACAAGGCUACCGGUACCAAAACACCAAACUAUAAUCAUACUAAACCAUCAGGGAACAACGAAUGCCAAGCGAAAACCUGAAGCACCAAUCCAUAACCAUGCCAAACCCGCGAAACAACGAAUACCGCAUCGAAAUCCACACCAGACACCAGCACAAACAAUACGCCACAAUCAACGCAAGCUACUCAAGACAUCAAGAGAGCAUCAUACCCGCAGCUGCCUCCGGCACUGCUCCGUCUCCCUCUGCCGCAAGCCGAUAAGCACGACCCUGAGCCCUUGGGCUCUGCUCCAUCCUGUCCUCCUCCUGAACUCCUCAAGGUGGCCGAUGCUAGAGCCUGCACCGGUCCUGCAGGAAACUGUGGACGGUUGACCCUCAAAUGUCCAACCUGCCGACACUGAUAACAAAUCCUGAAAUCCCGAAUUGGCACUGACUGCCGACAAUCCCGUGCACCAUGCCCCUCCUUUCCGCACUUGCGGCAUGCACCACUGGGCCAACAAGCUCCGGUGCCAUCUCUCUCACACUUCCCACAAGUGUGACCGCUCCGAUCCCCCAUUCUAACGUCUACGGUCAUGGACCGUUUCGGCGCCGACUGCGACUGCAUCGGGGCCUGCCUCAUCUCACGCAACUGCAACUCAACCUCUAACUCACGCCACAUGGCGGCCUCCUGCGAUACCAACACGGUCUCGCGCCUCUGCGCAGACACGAACUGUCUGAUACCCCCCCUUGAGCAUACUCGGAUAUCGGGACAUCUGAGCCUGCUCCGAAGCGAACUCAGGGCAAAACAUCGCCCUCUCAAUAAACAUCCCGGUGCUCUCAGUCACCGACUCCAAAUCCUGCUUCAGCUUAAGGAACUUCCGAGCCAAUUUCUCCUUUUCAUCCCGCGGAACAUAGCGAGUACUGAACAUCCCUCUGAAUUGAUCCCAUGAAACCGCAGCCCUCUGCGCAUCGGAAAAUGACCUCGUGGUCAAUCUCCACCAAUCCUUCGCCCCGAGCCUCAAUAGGUUCAGAGCACACCCCACCCUCUGAUCAGCAGGGCAUAAACUCGUGGAGAAACACCCCUCCAUGUCUGAUAACCAUCUCAUAGCAACAAUCGAGUCCUGAACUCCAUCGAAUGUGGGAGGCUUCGCAUAAUAGAAGUCCCGAUACUGAAAACCCCGACUAGCCCCUUUCUUUGCCGUUGCUACAGCCGCUGUAACCGCCGCGGCAGCCGUCUCUGCGAAAGCCGCAUAUCGCUCAUCAAACUACUUCAAUCAUAGUGGUCCUGAUCGACCCAAACAAUUCUGGCGACUCAGCCCGCAACAAUGCAGCAACCUCAUCACGCCGGAUCUCGCGAAUCCUCGCAUCCCGCUCGCUCGUGCUCGUCCGAUCGAUAACCGGAUAACAAGAUAGCCACAAGCAUCAUCCACUACGAACCAUGGUACUCAUCCCAUGACAUCCCUCCUCAACAUGCUUCGGUGUAUGGUACCUGAACCAUAGCACCACUCCUCAAUCUGCUCCAAUGUAUAGCACUCGAACCACAACAUCUAUCUCAAUCUGUUCCGAUGUAUGGUGCCCUGACCAUAACAUCACUCUGUAUCCGCUCCGAUGUAUGGUAUCCGAACCAUAACAUCACCCCUCAAUCUGUUCCUUAGGACCUUCAGAAUGCCCCCUGUAUCAAGUAUGGGUCCUCUGCUUUCAGUAGUACGGGCCCAUACUACCUGCCACAUCUACCCAUACUUUCCACACGGACCAUCCCAGAGUUCCUAAGUAGCUGAUAAACCUGCUCUUUCACCCAUCUCAUCGCGCGUGCUCGCUUUCCAGCGAAAUCCUCUACUCUACCAGCGCACUCAUCUGGCUAGGUUUACUCCCUAGUCCCUUCCGCUGUCCUCCCACUUCUUUGCUAUCAGCUGCUGAAGAGUUCCUAAUGAUGCCAGCCCUCUACCUCCUGAGUAUCGUCAUACUCACUUGGUAGCUGACUCCCAUCAUCGAUAACUCCACAAAGCACAAAGCAAGCAGCAUUCGAGCAUUGAAGCAUACAUAGGACUCCCCAUCUGUGGUAGCUCCACCUUCUCGGCUCAUCCUCGGAAGUACCUCUGUACUCCGUAGCUUUACCCCUUGUGCGUUCUAACUAGAUACUCUCACUCAUCACAUACACACAAAAGCAUAACGCACAUAUAACAGCAAACCCUAGACUAAGGCAUCACAAAUCAGGCCACUCUAGUCCUAAGAUGUGAAAUACCUAGCCUGUCUCUAGCAUGCAAUAAUGUCUCAUAAAGUGCAUAAUAGAUAUUUCAUAAUACAAAAGUAAGGGUAUUUUGGGAAAUCACCGUUUGGCUCUGGCUGAUUGUACACACUGCUCUUUCUUGCUUUCUCUUUGAACUCUUAUUCACUUUUAGAAAACCAUUUAUUUGGAAAACUUUUUCUUACUUCCUCAGUUUGAGUCCAGAUUUACCCGUAGGCGCGUCCGAAUCCCUCAAACCAAGGCUCUGAUACCAAUUUGUAACACCAAGAUUUCCAAAAAUAAAAUUUUCAUUUAAUUAAUCAAUUUAAUAUUAAAAACACUUGUUUAAAAUCUUAUUCACAUUCGAAUUACAAAACAUAGUUUCAUUUUCAUUAUAAUAGAAGACCAGGAUCCUCCAAAACACAACUCUUUCUUCGGUGUGUACAAUCGAACCGUUGCCAUCCCGCGUUACUGUAAGAACCUGAAACAACGUAACAUAAACAACGUAAGCACGAAGCUUAGUGAGUUCCCCAAUAUACCUUACGCACAUACGCCAUCCGGCCCGGACCGUUCGGUCCACAUAACAUUGCCUUCCGGCCCGGAUCUUUCGAUCCACAUAAUAUCGCCUUCCGGCCCGGAUCUUUCGAUCCACAUAAUAUCGCCUUCCGGCCCGGACCUCUCGGUCCAUAAGAUAAUUGCCUUCCGGCCCAUACACAUAUAUAACACAUAAUACAAAUACUCUAACACAUAAAGCACAUAUAUCAUAUAUCAUACCUGACCUUUCUGUCACAUAAUACCUUGCCUUCCGGCCCAUAUAUAAGCAUGUAUAUCACGCGUAGCAGCUAACUUUCCAUUCAUAGCAUAUAAACAUAACACACAACAUACUUGACCUUCCGGUCACACAAUCAAACCCUUCCGGGUGAGGUAUAGUGAGAAGACUCACCUCGCGGACACUGGAAGAUAGCGACUCCUGAAACCUCUUGCACUUGAUCCUCCGAGCUACAAGCUCCCUGUCUCAUCAUAUAUCCCUUUUUAAUACUUCUAUCUUCCACGUUAACUGACCCUAAGAAAUCACACCAGUCAACUCUGGUCAACAGUCCAUUGUCAGCUCGACUGGACUCGGCGAGUUCCCUGGCGACUCGGCGAGUCUGGUCGUCCUUCAAUCCUCUAAGAUUCCCCUUCUACUCGUCGAGUAUCCUCUUUGACUCGACGAGUCACUCCUGGAAGAAUCGCGGGGCCACCCCGACUCCACUCGCCGAGUCUGAAGAACAACUCGGCGAGUCCCAGUGAAUCUUCAAGCUACUCGCCGAGUCUGAUCAUCCGACUCGGCGAGUCCAUGCCAUGCAGUCGAUCAAACUGAUUCCUGAGAUACAUAUUUUCCCGAAAUACACACUCAUGGGACUUCUGGACCUCUAAUCAUCCUAUUACUAGGGUAUAAACUUUUGUAUAACAACAUAAUAAUCCAUCAAAUCACCAAAUGGGUUUCAUAAACCCUAAAUUCGUGCACACAUCAAUAUAGCAGAAAUGAUCCGGAAUAUUACCUGAAUAACACCCCCUCUGUGUCUCCAAACCUCAGAACUCGAUCCCCUUGAUAUUCCUUUGGCCAAAACUCUUCUUCUUCUUGCUUAACAAAUUCUUCAAGGUUCCAAAAGCUUCUUCUCCUGCCCUAGACGUCCACAACGAUUAAGGGUCCUUCUCAGUCGGCCAAAAGGCGAACAAUGGAGGCAUAAGAUCCCUUAAAUACUUCCCAAACCGAACGGCUAGGGUUUUCCACUGAACAGCGUCGACUCGCCGAGUCCAUACCUGGACUCGUCGAGUCCAGUCGCGAACCCGCGACCAACUCUGCGACCCUACUCGGCGAGUCUGGCUCCAACUCGCCGAGUCUCCCCUUUAAAACACCCCAAAAUGCAAUUUAGCAAUACUUGAGAUUUUGGGCUGUUACAAAGUUAGAUCUCGGUUCGGUUUCCUGCUAGUGUUUGGGGUUAUCAAGGAUCAUAUAUGCCAUCCUGCAUGCCGACAGGUCCUUGAUGAACCCAAAGAGGGAUGCGUCUUGCGGAGUGGGUUCCGCGCAUACCAUUAUUAUUUCGGAUCUUUGUCGGGAUCUAUACAGGAGUAUUAGUUAGAGGAUACUCGAUCAGGGUUGGAGU
rnacentral:lncRNA from 1 species